AAUCUGUGUUUUCAGUGACGCUUGAAGGUGAAACUCUCCCUUGUAACUAGAGAGUUACAGAUCCUUAGAGAGGCGCUUCAGUGGUUUCAUUCAGCGGUUACUGCAAAAGCUGUCCAGGUUUGAGGCUGAUAGAUUCCAGGAAAAUAGGAAGAAUUCCAUUCAAAAUACCAUAAAAAUGGAGCAGGCUACAAGACUUUUGAGAUAACACUACUGUUAAAUUUUUUAAAAGAAAGACAUUCUGAACCUGAGAGUCUCUUCAGUUUCAUGAAGUGUCCCGGCAGGACGCU
rnacentral:lncRNA from 1 species